UUUUCCUACACUGCAGCUGAACAUCACUGUUACAUAAAGCUGACUGCCUAGGCAUCUGUAGGACAACACCUCAAGCUCUUGGCAUCUUGCAUUUUGCAUCAGUGUCCCAUCUGCUUCUCUAAGAUUGAGCUGUAACACAGACAAGUGGAUGUUUUGCUGCGGAAUGAACACUUAGCAGGCCCACACCAGUUAUCCUAUUGAAAGAGGGGACUGAUAGCUCCCAAGGCAUCCCCCAGCUUGUGAGUAACAUCAGUGCCUGCCAGGUGAUUGCUGAGGCUGUAAGAACUACCCUGGGUCCCCGUGGCAUGGACAAGCUUAUUGUAGAUGGCAGAGGCAAAGCAACAAUUUCUAAUGAUGGGGCCACAAUUCUGAAACUUCUUGAUGUUGUCCAUCCUGCAGCAAAGACUUUGGUAGACAUUGCCAAAUCCCAAGAUGCUGAGGUGGGUGAUGGCACCACCUCAGUGACCUUGCUGGCUGCAGAGUUUCUGAAGCAGGUGAAACCCUAUGUGGAGGAAGGUUUACACCCCCAGAUCAUCAUUCGAGCUUUCCGCACAGCCACCCAGCUGG
rnacentral:sRNA from 1 species